CAGGGUUUAAAGGGUCAGGGGUUCAGCUGUGGAAUCAAAAUGGAGUCCGUUUGGCCGGACUGUCAGUGGUGCCCCACUGCCUUUCUUCACCAGGCGGUCUCUUCCCCCUUCACCUGCCCACGAGAUGAAUAAUAUCCUGAUUCAGAGCAGAGGUAGAGAGGCUGCUCCAUCUCUUCGCACCAGCGUGUCAGCUCCUGACGUUGCCAUGGCGACGGACUGUUGUCGUGGCAACCGCGGCAGAUGGGGGAGGAGAGAAAACAAGAGCGCAGAAGAGGAAGAAGAAGAAGAAGAAAAAAAAAGAAAGGAGAAAAGAUGAGAAGGAAAGAAGGCCGGAGUCUUUUUCUCAUUAGACGAUAAAGAAACCGCAGUGCCAGUAAUCUGUGCCCCUCCGCUGCCUCUAUCAGCUCAGAACAUCAGCCCGCUUCCUUUAGGAGUAAAUAGCAGAGAGCUGGUCCAUUAGGUGCCAUAAUGACGGCCGUUUAUUAAUAGUCAUGACUCUGAUGAGCUUCAGUGCCGCUUUGAUGGGCCAAUUUGUGUCUCUUUUACAAAGACCGCUGGGGUCGGCUGUGCGGAGCAGGCCGGUUCAAGGCGCAAACGCGGGGUCCUGCCCCAGUGCUCUGAAGUGACAUCAUUCCUCCACCCCUUCAUCAUUUCAUCGAUCUGAAGAGAUCGCUGAUUGACUAGAUGAGGUUUCUACCAUGUUGCUUUCACCUGUCCAUGCUGUAUAGAUCAGAUGAUUAAAGUCACUCUUUUCCGUUCUGUCCACUGUUCCAGGAGUCAGUCACUUUUUGCUUACGACCCAGAUAAGAGCACUUCAGUUAGCUGCCCAGGUGAGUUCGAUUGCUUUUUGAUUGUUGUCCCGCUGUGCUAAAAAUUAAUGAAAUUGCAGCAUAAAUGAGGUCAGAGUCCAUCAGGGGCCAGG